rnacentral:rRNA from 1 species
AUACGAAGGGCCCGAGCGUUAAUCGGAAUCACUGGGCUUAAAGCGUACGCAGGCGGACUCGCAGGCAUCUUGUGAAAUCCCUCGGCUCAACCGAGGAACUGCAGGGUGAACCGCGAGUCUUGAGACAAGUAGGGGCUGUCGGAACGCUAGGUGGAGUGGUGAAAUGCGUUGAUAUCUAGCGGAACGCCUAAGGAGAAAUCAGGCAGCUGGGCUUGUUCUGACGCUGAGGUACGAAAGCGUGGGGAGCGAACGGGAUUAGAAACCCCAGUAGUCC